rnacentral:rRNA from 1 species
UACGAAGGGGGCUAGCGUUGCUCGGAAUCACUGGGCGUAAAGCGCACGUAGGCGGCUUCUUAAGUCAGGGGUGAAAUCCUGGAGCUCAACUCCAGAACUGCCUUUGAUACUGAGGAGCUCGAGUCCGGGAGAGGUGAGUGGAACUGCGAGUGUAGAGGUGAAAUUCGUAGAUAUUCGCAAGAACACCAGUGGCGAAGGCGGCUGACUGGUCCGGUUCUGACGCUGAGGCGCGAAAGCGUGGGGAGCAAACAGG